GGAGGCAUUGAUGCCUCUCAAGCAUUAGUCUCUUGUCCGUGCUUGGGCGAGAGUAGUACUAGGAUGGGUGACCUCCUGGGAAGUCCUUGUGUUGCACCCC
rnacentral:rRNA from 1 species